rnacentral:snoRNA from 1 species
AUCCUUUUGUAGUUCAUAAGCAUGAUGACUGGGUUUUCAUGCGCACGCGUGAGAUGUGCCUCCCUCAAACCUUGUUACCAGGUCAGGACAUUACCCAUCUGACA